CUCCAGUACUCUUGCCUGGAAAAUCCCAUGGACAGAGGAGCCUGGUGGGCUGCUGUCUCUGGGGUCGCACAGAGUCAGACACGACUGAAGCGACUUAGCAGCAGCAGCAGCAGCAGCAGCAGUCUGACCCUAAAGCCAUGUCCUUAUACCUGGAGAAUGCCACUGGAUUUAGAUGAGGAGCUCCUUGGAGACAGAGACUCACUCCCUGCUUGUCCAGGACCAGUUUAUCAACACAAAAUUAAUUGUCUCUACACCUGUUCAUUUCAUGGGGAGACUGAAAAUAAGAAGAUAAUCUCUGUAGACUUCCAAAGACAAUUCCAGACUCCAUUCCCAAUUUUUUUCUCUCUAUGUGCAAAAACGAAGGCUUUGUGCACUCUGUUGCUAUGGAAACAGGAGAGAGAGAAACAGUUUAUGUAUUUCAAAAGCUGUCAGCCUAUAUGCUGUGGAUUUUGAUAACUAAACCUACAUGUGAGCCAUCUUUUCUCUACUCCCAACGCCCAACGCUAUACCGUUUAUUUUAUUUUAUACAUGUGUGUAUAUGUUGCUUGAGAAAAUUAAGGAUCUAUUUAUUUAGCUGUGGUGCAAUCUAUUUUAUAUUUAAUUUAAUGUCCAGGGGACAGAGAGAGGCUUUGGUGAUGCAGUUAGAGAAAUAUAAAACUGUUCUUAAUAAAUGCUUACUAAAUCAGAAUGAAGACAGAGUUAGCAGGCAUCACAACUCAAUCUAUUGGCAAAAUAAAAAAGAUUGAAGCUCUAUUAAUUUUAAAACAGAUCUGAAC
ensembl:lncRNA